GCUUGCUCUUCAAAUCGAGUGGCGAACGGGUGAGUAACGCGUGAGGAACCUGCCUCAAAGAGGGGGACAACAGUUGGAAACGACUGCUAAUACCGCAUAAGCCCACGGCUCGGCAUCGAGCAGGGGGAAAAGGAGCAAUCCGCUUUGAGAUGGCCUCGCGUCCGAUUAGCUAGUUGGUGAGGUAAUGGCCCACCAAGGCGACGAUCGGUAGCCGGACUGAGAGGUUGAACGGCCACAUUGGGACUGAGACACGGCCCAGACUCCUACGGGAGGCAGCAGUGGGGAAUAUUGCACAAUGGGGGAAACCCUGAUGCAGCGACGCCGCGUGGAGGAAGAAGGUCUUCGGAUUGUAAACUCCUGUUGUUGAGGAAGAUAAUGACGGUACUCAACAAGGAAGUGACGGCUAACUACGUGCCAGCAGCCGCGGUAAAACGUAGGUCACAAGCGUUGUCCGGAAUUACUGGGUGUAAAGGGAGCGCAGGCGGGAGAACAAGUUGGAAGUGAAAUCCAUGGGCUCAACCCAUGAACUGCUUUCAAAACUGUUUUUCUUGAGUAGUGCAGAGGUAGGCGGAAUUCCCGGUGUAGCGGUGGAAUGCGUAGAUAUCGGGAGGAACACCAGUGGCGAAGGCG
rnacentral:rRNA from 1 species